rnacentral:rRNA from 1 species
UCUUGCGCAAUGGGCGAAAGCCUGACGCAGCAACGCCGCGUGCGGGAUGACGGCCUUCGUGGUUGUAAACCGCUUUCAUCAGGGACGAAAAUGACGGUACCUGGAGAAGAAGCUCCGGCUAACUACGUGCCAGCAGCCGCGGUAAUACGUAGGGAGCAAGCGUUGUCCGGAUUUAUUGGGCGUAAAGAGCUCGUAGGCGGUUCAGUAAGUCAGGUGUGAAAGCUCUGGGCUCAACUCAGAGAAGCCACCUGAUACUGCUGUGACUAGAAUCCAGUAGGGGAGUGUGGAACUCCUGGUGUAGCGGUGAAAUGCGCAGAUAUCAGGAAGAACACCAGCGGCGAAGGCGGCACUCUGGGCUGGUAUUGACGCUGAGGAGCGAAAGUGUGGGUAGCAAACAGG